rnacentral:rRNA from 1 species
AUUGAACGCUGGCGGCAGGCCUAACACAUGCAAGUCGAACGAGUGGCGGACGGGUGAGUAAUGUCUGGGAAAAUGCCUGAUGGAGGGGGAUAACUACGGGAAACGGUAGCUAAUACUGCAUACCAUCAGAUGUGCCCAAGUGGGAUUCACUUGUUGGGGGGGUAACGGCUCACCAAGGCGACGAUCCCUAGCUGGUCUGAGAGGAUGACCAGCCACACGGGAACUGAGACACGUUCCAGACUCCUACGGGUGGCAGCAGUGGGGAAUAUUGCACAAGGGGCGCAAGCCUGAUGCAGCCAGGCCGCGUGUAUGAAGAAGGCCUUCGGGUUGUAAAGUACUUUCAGCGGGGAGGCGUUACCCGCAGAAGAAGCACCGGCUAACUCCGUGCCAGCAGCCGCGGUAAUUC